GACGAACGCUGGCGGCGUGCUUAACACAUGCAAGUCGAACGGAAAGGCCCUGCUUUUGUGGGGUGCUCGAGUGGCGAACGGGUGAGUAACACGUGAGUAACCUGCCCUUGACUUUGGGAUAACUUCAGGAAACUGGGGCUAAUACCGGAUAGGAGCUCCUGCUGCAUGGUGGGGGUUGGAAAGUUUCGGCGGUUGGGGAUGGACUCGCGGCUUAUCAGCUUGUUGGUGGGGUAGUGGCUUACCAAGGCUUUGACGGGUAGCCGGCCUGAGAGGGUGACCGGCCACAUGGGGAUUGAGAGAGGGCCCAGCCUCCUACGGGGGACAGGGGGGGGAAAUUUGGCAAAGUGGGCGGAGGCCGGAGCAGACCGCGCCGGGGGGGGAAUGGCGGCCUGGGGUUUGAAAACCGCUUUCGCUUGUGACGAAGCGGGGGGGAGGGGAAGGGAAAAAGAAGCACCGGCUAACUCCGGG
rnacentral:rRNA from 1 species